rnacentral:rRNA from 1 species
GACCUCGGAUCGGGUAGGGAUACCCGCUGAACUUAAGCAUA